GUUUUUCACAAUGACAAACUGAGGCAAUUAGGCGCAGGAGGACUCCUCUGGCAGCGCCGUCUUACUUCGCUCAUCGAUUUAUGUCCCUGCUGGCGCCGGCGGGGCGGCACGGAGACACCUCAGGGCCCAACGCGGGAUUCAAUCUGACGUCCCCCGAUGUUUAAGAACCUGUCAAUCAAUCCGAAGGUCCCCUGAUUACCGCUGUUUGGGAGUUAAUUGGUGUCGCUGAGCCCUCGGAGGGGAACAGACGGCGAGCUGACGCUGGCUCACACCUCCAGCGCUUUUUGUUUUAUGGAGCAGAGAGAAGCUUUGUCUCUUCAUUCAUCAAACGUGUCAC
ensembl:lncRNA